GCUCUCUUCAACCAGUCGCCUCUCUCUCUCUCUUUCACUUUCUCUUCAUUCCUCUCAAGUCAUGCAUGCAUUUUCUGCUAAACUCUAGAAGUAAAAUGCUUGAACAAUAAAGUCUCAGCAUACUGAUUGGCUACCCAAAAGAAGAAGAUGAGUAGGAUUGAUUUCUACAUAUAAAGGACAAUGAAAGGUGGCUUUCCACCAAAUGAAAUCAAGAAAAAGGGAUGGGAAAGCAUUUAUUAUGACAAGCACAUGAGAAGAAAAAUUGGCCAAAGGAGUGUGAAUGCAUUAAUGGAGUUGGAAAAUUGGCUUGGAAAUUUGCCAUCUUUGUUGACUGGAGGGGCGGCAAUUGCCUAUAAAUAGCCCCCCUCCUCACUUCAUUGCAUAGUUGCAUUUUCCUUCUCUUCAUCCGGAUCUUAUAUAAAAUUGCUCUCUUCCUCUCCUUUCUUCUCA